GACAAGUUGGCCGAGUGGUUAAGGCGGCAGACUUAAGAUAAUAUCUGAAGUUAUCUGCUGGACGUGAGUCCUCGCGAGUUCGAACCUCGUACUUGUCA
rfam:Sugiyamaella lignohabitans strain CBS 10342 chromosome B, complete sequence.